UUAAAACAUGAGUGGUGAUGUUGCUGCAUCCAAAGGGAAGCCAUCAGACUACUAAUCCCUUGUGAAUCUGGCAAUCAGAGUCCUUGGCCUUUCUGAGAUGGUUUUGGUGGUAAUCUCCUGCCAACAUAAUUCUUUAGCACCGUACAUCACCAUGUCUGGAGAGUCAUUAGCUGGAAAAUUAAUCAGGGUGGAGAACAGCUGAAUAAAACCCCAGCCCUCAGUGUAACUUUCCACAUCCCUGGCUCAGCUGUGGAUACUAUAUGGAGCCAACUCUCAGAGGACAUCUUGGACUAUUCCCACCAGUGAGAAAGCACAGCUACCUUCUUCACAUCCUACUCUAGCUGGUGACUUGGUUUGCUCUCUUGGACCUGCUCCCUUGACUCAUCCAUUAAGACUUCACUCCUCUCUCUGGCUACACUUCAUUGCCAGGUUCUGGGACUUGUUCAUUCUCAGAAUCUCCGUGUCAGCCCCGGACGGAUGAUUUUCUACUUUUCAGCUGAGGCUGACUAUAGCUAACUGACACCCAAGUACCUUUCAUCUGGUGUACUCAGAGUGCUUUCAUACAUUAAUUAAAUCUCACAACACCCCUCUGUGUUAAGCAAGAUGAGUCACUUGUCUGAACUACAUCUGGAGCAGAAGGCAGGGGUCUUGUCUCCCAGGGUGCUGAAUCAUCAUUAAAGGGCAUUGCUUCAUGAAGGAAACAACAUGGCAUAAUGUAAAGAGAACCAAACUUGGAGUUGGGAGUCCCAGGGGAAUGCACUCCUCCCACCCUCUUCCUCAAGACCUACUUUCCUCAUCUGGAAAAUGGGAAUGAUAAUUAAACUAUCUUACAGGAAUAUUGUUAGGGAAGCAUUCUGUAGAAUACUAUAUAAAUGUGUUAUUAUUAUUAUUAUUAAGCAUUAAUUGUAAGUCUCAGUUUCCAUAUCUAAAA